CUGCUUCUCGCUGCCACAUGUUCCUUCCAUUCCAUUCCAUGAAGUCUACUUAACGAGCCCCUUCAGUAGAGAAGUUCUCAACGAAUCCCUUCUGGAUCCAGGCAUUCUGAUUACUGUAUUAUGACUGUGCACUCUACCCAGGGCAGACUGUCAUCUGAGCCCGGCCUGUCCUGCUGUCUGCUCUCUCCAGAGAGCAUCCUUCAUCCUGAUAAACAGGCUGCGAGCUGGACAUGUGACUGAGCUCCUUAAGACAUGAGUCUUCAGUCUCCUGCCCUCAGCUUAGCUGGAAGCUGGAUGACAGCCACAUUAAGAGGCUUUCUGCAAGUGGCUUUUGGAUGAAAAGGGGGCCUCUCAGGUACUCCACUCUCACGUUGCAGGCUCUGCAGCAGCUGGUCUAUCUGGUGGCACUGGGACUACUCCUCACUCUUAUCAUCCGACUUUGAAUGGGAGCCUCGCUCCUUCACCCUGAGCCGUCCAUCAAGACCCAGCACUAGGGCCAGGUCUGGUGACGGUGGCCAGACUGCUCACACUGCUGCCCCAGAACAUCCAGGGAUUUACAUCAUGCACCAGGUCCUGGGAUUGCGUCUUAACUAUCUGCAAUGGUCAUUCUGCUUCAUGAGAAAGGUAAGAUUCGACUCUCAUUAAUUCUACAGAUUCAUUUGAAUCCAAUUCCCAGGACUUUUCUUUAAAAUAAACAAACCAUAUAAACUCCUCAGGUUGGAUGGUGUUGGAAGAACUAAUUAUUUGUGUUUCCCAUUACUGUUUUGUCCAUGUAGGGACUACAGAUUGCAGCACUGAGUAAGUGUAAUUGAGAAUUAAUGUGUUCUGUGGCUCAGAGGUGGAAAAUAAAACUGAGGCAGCCCAUAUGAGGAAAAAGUGGAUUCUUGUCAUGUAAGUGAGGCCAUGAGGACACAUGAUUGUGGCCUUUAUUGCUCAGGCCUGCCCAGUGGAUACUAGGAAAAGGACCCUCUUUCUGCUGUCAAGCUUUAACAAAAUUUGAGUGAAGCUUUAUUUCUCUAAAAAGAAACACAAGAUAGGCAAGAUGCAAAGAAUGGUCAGAGGGAAGAGGGAAGUUAAAAUGAAGGUGAUUGCCGCUCUGACAUCGUAACUACACUUGUGAAGGCAAUGAUAAUUUACUGUGGUUUUUACCAUGAAAGAGAAAUGCCAGGGAUCCACUUUCUGAAUAAGACUGCUUCAGGCAACCACCAUUUUACUCUAUGUCUCUACGGAUUUGGCUGCCAUAAGUGCCUCACGUUCCAGCUAGCCCAAUGAGGGAAGAAAAAAACUUAAAAUGGAGUAAGAGGAAGGAAAAGGACAAUAAUAAAAAACUCAAGCAGAACAGAGCCCUCAGAAAUAAUGCCGCAUAUCUACAACCAUCUGAUCUUUGACAAACCUGAAAAAAAAAGAAAUGGGGAAACGAUUCCCUAUUUAAUAAAUGGUACUGGGAAAACUGGCUAACUGUAUGUAGAAAGCUGAAACUGGAUCCCUUCCUUACACCUUAUACAAAAAUUAAUUCAAGAUGGAUUAAAGACUUAAAUGUUAGACCUAAAACCAUAAAAACCCUAGAAGAAAACCUAGACAAUACCAUUCAGGACAUAGGCAUGGGCAAGGACUUCAUGUCUAAAACACCAAAAGCAAUGGCAAC
rnacentral:lncRNA from 10 species